UAUGCCUUUAAUCCUAGCACUGGAAGGCUGAGGCAGGUGGGUCUCUGUGAGCUCAAGGACAGCCACAUCUACAUAGUGAGGCUCUGUCAUAAAACAAAACAAAAUGUGGUUUUGCAACUUUGGAGGCUGAUCUAUCCUAAGCCUUGCACCAGCAAGCUGCAGAGCCAGCAGAGCUAACAGCAUAGUCCUAGGACAUGAAGGGUGCUGAGCUUUGUGGAGAUUUUCCUUGGACCCAGUGGAGGAUGACUUAGAUCUGUCAUUAUUUAGAUGUCAGAAAGUGGGGUGACUGACUGGAGAUUACCAUUAUGCUCGUUUAGAUGUGGAUAUGAAGGAAUUUACUAUUGGUAGCUUCAGAAGACCCUCUCAUGACCCAUUAGCAAUAGGUGAUCUUGCACCCACCACAGACAUCAGACAGUAGGAGCCAGUCGGGGGUGAGGAGUAUAGGAAACAACAGCCUGAAUUGCUGUGGUGGAGGCUGGGCAUGACAGUGUCUCUUGGCCAUUUAACUGCUCAGUCAGAGAAGCAAUAGAAAGGCCCGUUUUGGGGGGAUGUCUCAAUCCACUUAGUAGGCAUUUUAUGGUAUAGCUACAGACCUGAUCUUGGAGUGAGUCCCAUUUCGAGGCCAUCAGAGCCUUCUGAAAUUCUUUCAUGAGCCAGAAAAGCAAGUCUCCUUCUACCCCAACUACUAAACCAUAGGGUGCUGCCAGCAGCCACAUCCUCAGAUUGUGGGUUCUGGAGGUGGAUAACAACCCAACCGUUAGCCCAUGUAGGACGCCGAGACAUGAUGAAGACCCAGCAUAAACUUUGGAUUACACAAACAACCCUUUUUGCCGACUCCGUCAUCAUAACAGUUUGGGUUCCUCUGUAUAUCUAACCACCAUCUGUGUACACAGGUAUGUGCAGGGGCUCGGUGCUGGAUACUCUCAGACUUUGUAGCUAUGGGUAGGAAUCAGGAUAGAGUGGGAGGAAGAGUUGCCACUUGCUUCUCUGCAUGCUUUGAGUUGCAAUGAGGUGCCGCCUGACAUCGCCCUGUGGAGUCACAAGCCUUAACAUCCUCCAUGAAACUGAUAGCCUUACCCUGUUACUAACACCAAGGAGCUGGGGCAACAGCGUGGGCCCUGGACUGCAUUAUUUCCACCCAGCAUUUUAAAGAGAUUCCUGGCCUCCCACGGGUGAUGGGACUGUCACUGUGCCUCCUGUCAAGAGGAAAGCUGUGACUCAUUCAUCUCUUUGAUGUGUCUAUGUGCAUCCCGUCAGGGCCCCCGAAAUGCAGGCAUCGGCGGUUGCCUUGCCUUGACAAGAGAGGUGGAUUAGUGUUGUCUCGUCUCCUCCUCUGUAGGGUCGGCUCGUGCAAAUGGCCAUACUUUGUGUCUUCACUGGUUCUUCUGCUCCAGUUCAGGUCCCGAAAGAAUUGUUUCUCCUGAGUGUGGCUGCCUUGUCAGCCUUGAGAGGAAGGCAUGGGGCCGAACCCUGCCAAAAACAGUCCAAGCUGGCAUGGGGCCAGCCAGCUGGCGGCUAAGCAGAGCCCUCUCCCAGCCUCUCCAGGCCCCCCUCCAGCUCCCUUUUACAGCUGUCUGGCCUCAGGUAAUCAUUGGCACUCUGCGGGUCCCUGGCUCUUUUCCUUCCCAUGUUUCAGAUCACUUUACACGCAUUAAUUAAGCCUUAAAACACUCAGGAAAGGAAAGCCAAAGACAGUGGGGAUGUUUGCAACAUGCUUCUCCAUGCUUAGACUGGAGAACAGGCUGGCCCCACCCUCGCCUAGCCUCUCCCUCACCAAGCCCCACCCUCAUCCAGCCCCUCCCUCAUCUAGCCCCACCCUAACCCAGGUGGAAGGGUGGAGCUUCUGUGUUUCUUGCAUAGUUGAAACCCAGUCUACAUACCCUAGAAAACCCCAUAUUCAUUAUUGGUUUAGGACAAUCAUCCACCUAGUUGAGGUUACCUGCUAUAGCUGACCCACAUGACCUUUGGAAGUAGGCAUCUGGGCAGAUGUGGCUCAAUGUGUCACACCCGGAAUGAAUGUCUCCAGUCUAUACCACUGUAACCAUGGUCAAGCACCUUGGAAUAAGAAAGGCCUUAGCCCAAUAAGGUGGGCAGUGCUGAGCAAAGAAGCCUGAGGUUGACCUCUUACCUCCACAUGCACAUGUAUGCACAUGCAUACAGAGAGGGGUGAGGUCGGGAUGGAGAGACCUUGAAAGGCAGGGAGAGACCUUAGACCAGACCUAGCCCCCCAGAGAGCUGUCUUGCAAACAUUGCUUGGCAUCCUAGGGCUGACUGUAUCAUCUAUAAAACCGACAGGAAUAUGUCCAGUGCCUCCCCCACCCCUUGAUUUCUGGGAAGGAUGAAAUCAGAGCAUAACAUCCUAAGCAUGUGGCAUAGAAAAGGCUAGAUUCUGUGGCCUUCCCAAGCCAUCUUGUAUCUAAUCCCAGUCAGUCUGAAUUAAUGUAGUUUUGCUACCAAAGUGUUAGAGACCCUGUAGUUCAAAUUGGUGUUGGCAUCUCUCGCUGAGAUGAAAUGGUAGGAAAUCUAAAUGAAGUCUGCAGUUCAGUUAACAGUUUUUUUUACCAACCAUUAAUCCUUACUUUAGACUAAUUUAUGACAUUUGAGCCAUUGACAUUACAGAAAGUUGGGUGAGUGGAAUGCAGGGACUGUGUUUUAGUGGAUAGUAAUAAUCUUAUUUUGAGCGCAUCAAAAUUGGUAAUGAUACCCAGGAAGACUAACACUUCACCCACAAUUUUAGUGUACUAUUUUAAAAUUCCUCUAUGGCUUCCACGAAAAUAAUAAAUGCCAGGCCUUUUGUUACCAAAAUAAGAGACAAUUUCUGUUAGCUCCAGCUGUUAUCACCACCAAGGAAAAUUCAUUGAGUUUCCUGUGUCUGCAAAGUGCCAUAUUGUACGUUAAAACAGCAAACAUUACCAUCGGGAGAAAACCAUUGCUUGUGUGGUAGUCCUUUUAAGGUGGCUGUUUGUAUGUAAGAUAUUUGAUAACCUUACUAUUUAGGCCCCCAGUGCUUUCCUUAUUCCACAGAAAAUGGAUGGUUUUCUAGCCACGCAGCUCCAAGCCUUCCUCUCUGGCGAGAAGCAACUGGAAAGAGCCAUCCUGUCAAACAGCCCUGUAGAUUAUAGCGCUUGCCACUCUCUGAGUACAGGGUUUGCGAUGUUUGCAGUAAAAUGCUGGGGGUGCCUUUUCGCUAACUUCAUGGAGACCACAGGAUUUAAAUACAUUAUUUCCUCACUUCUUUUAGAUCAUGCAAAUUAUGAUGUCAUGGGGGUCAGAAAGAGCUCUGCAUCUAGUGGGUGGUAAGGUGGUAAAGAACCUCAUCACCUGUCACAUCAGAGAGUGUGAAUAUAAUAUGGCCACCUUACAGUGGGUUCAGUAGAAGAACCAGAGCUCGAGAAAGUGAACACUGGGUUAAAAGUUGCUCAGCACUCCAGUCGAUCUGAAUCCCUGGGAACACCUCAUGGUAUGUCAGCAGAGCAUCCGUGAGCAAAGGUUGGUACCUAUGGCCCACAGGGUACUGUGCUGAACCCCUUUCCUCCAUAAUGAGAAUGUCAUCUGUUACUUUUGAGGGGGGCCCUCUUCCUGUGCUUGGAGAAUCCCCAAUGUCAGGAGGCAAAUCCUACUAAAAAGUGAAAUGAUACAGGCCAUCUUCUCACUUCUCUUGAUGUUGGGGGAAAAUGCAGAAUCCAGGUGCCCCCAGGAGCUAGUGAUGUGAAGGGGUGGGACAGUACUUGUGAUGGUUAUUUCCAACCAUCUCAUAUAGCCCAGGCUGGCCUCAAAGUCCCUAUUGGCCAAGGAUAGCCUUGAACUUCUGAUCUUCCUUCCUCUACUUCCAAGUGCUAGGAUUAUAGUCAUGUAACUUUAUGCUUGGCCUGGAUGGUUAAUUUUUAUUAUCAACUCAUUGGAUAAGAGACUCAUCAGUUCUCAGUCUUUUGGCUAUGUUCAAGUGUGAAGAAACACCUAGCGCAUUAGUAAGCAUCCCUUGGGGUGUGUCUAUGAGGGCAUUUCCAGAGAGGGUUAACUGAUUGGGGAAGGCCUACCUUGAAUGUGACACUAUCUCAUGGGCUGUUGUCCCAGCCUGAAUCAAAAAGGAGGAAAGAACAAAGCCAACAGAGAGCAAUCAUUCCUCUCCCUCUCCUUCCUGGUCCUCCCAGCAGCCUUCUACAGCCAGGGACCGGAGCUGGAUCGGCUGCCAUGCCUCCUCUGCCAUUGUGGAGUCAACCUAACCUUUUCCUUCCUUAAGUUGAUUCAUCGGAUAUUUGGUGUGGUUACAAGCAAAGGCACUGAUACGAUGCUCAAUUGAGUAGCCUGAAGUGUGUCAGCAGUUUGAUGGAGGCACUGUUGGUGUUCACAGCAGGACCAUAACCAUAACCCUCCCUCUCUCCAGCAGGGCUCCAAACCUUGAUCAGAGCACACCACCUUGGAGGCACUUCCCCGUCUCUCAUAAAGAUUUGCAUGAGCCACUUACCAUGAUGUAAAAAAAUGCUCUCUUGGCUUAGACCAGUCACGCUCAGCCUCUCUUGGCAGGUGCAAGAGUUGUGUUCCAUCAGCUCCAUCUUGGAUACCAGUUACAUCCACCAACCAAUGUUAUUUUAGCAGUAGCCUUGGGUCUACAUGAUUCCCCCACUCCUUCGGAACAGCCCAGACAGCAUGGGGCACCACAAAAUGAGCUUGAACUAACUUACCUUGACCACUGACGCUAAAUGAAUCAAUCCGAGACAAGAGCAAAUUUCAUUUUACAUACCUUCCUGAAAUGGGUGAAGUGGGCAUGCUCUUUAUAGGUAUUUCUGGCCUUCUCUGUGGUACUAAAGAAGCAGUGCAGGAGAGAUUUUGCCAAAGAAAGAAACAGCAAUAACGAUAACACCGAGCAGAGCGGAAAGACCUCCACAGUUACAGAGGAACUGUCCUUAGCUCCGUGAUUUAUAGAGAAGAAACGGCUCAGGCGUCAGCUCAGCUUCAUUCAGCCUCCUCUCUCUGUCAUGUAGAAAUCCUGUCCCAUUGUGGUGAGCACUUAUAAUGCACCCAUUGACUUUUCCCUUGACACUGAACUUCACAAUGAGAAACUUUCAAUGUGAAAGGGAUCAUCUUAUUUCAAAGAGCAAAGAGCUCUUCCUUCAAAGAUUCCUUCAAAGAUUGAGAAAACAUGAACCUUCAUUGAUAAAAACCUGGAAUGCAGGCUUUUCAUAUUCUCCCAGCCAGUUAAACUUGGAAAUAAAAUCUUUUUUUUUUUUUUUAACAAAACAAAGAGGCGAAGAUAUCACUAAUCCUUUCAAUUAUACUCAUGUUAGCAACCAUGAACAUAGGCCCAGGAGCAAAUGCCUGUGCUCUGAAAAGAAAGAAGGAUGGAUUUAAGAGAGUUGGAACAGAGGUCCCAAAGAAAGGCUGUCUGCUAUUUUUGAAUUCUUCUGCAUCCCAUUGUUCAGAGAGCCCGUGGUUUAAGGAGCAGGGCGGAGUUGGGAAGAGUGCCCCCCCACACCCAUUUUCACCUAAGGUCCUUCCUUGUCUUUGGCUGAAUUCUUUUGAGAACUGAGGAGAAAACCUUCACCCAGUAACCCUAGGAAUCCAGCUGUCAGAUGUGUGGGGCAAAGAUCUCACUGCGACUUUCAGGCAGGACCGGUUUUGACGACCUCAGGCACAGAGCUGAGGUCUGCAGACAAACUGGAGAAGCAACCCCUGUGAUCUUCCUAGAAUAGAAAGGAGGAUGCAGUUCGAAGUGUGAGAUGAGGAAUGAAGGAAUGGACCGACCGCCAGACCUGGUUCUCACAGUAGUUCCGUCAGCCAGCAAAUGGAGACCGUCACAGGAAACCACAAAUGGACAUAACGCAGAGAUCAAUGGAUUGUGGGGAGCCCAGCCCAACGAAUACAGUUACAUCAUAGCUCCUGCAUCCCUGGCUCAGGGAACAUUCCAUAAGAGUGGGUAGAAAGAUUGCAAGAGCCAGAAUACCAGGCAGUCUGCUGUGCAACAAUAUCUCCUAGAAAUGGCUGCAUAAACAAGACCAGGAAAAUGGCAAUGUCAAUGGGCAUGUUAAUGUAGAAGUGGGAAAAUCUCACAGGGUCCCAGCCCUAGACCAAGAACUACAGGCAACCCCUGACUCCUGGGAGAAGGAGAGUGAAUUUCUCCCAAGGAUGAGCCUCAUUAUCAGUUGUCCAGUGCAGAAUAGUCAGCCUUAAUACCAUAUACACAGAAACAACAAAAAGCAGACUCAGCAGAGCCUAUUUAUAUAGAUUAAAUAUUGAAUAUAUUUUUAUAUAUUUAUAUACAUAUAUGCAUGUAACAUAUAAUCAAAGAAAAAGAGGCUAUCAACUUGAGAGUGGGGAGGACAUGGGAAGGUUUUAAAGGAUGGUAACUGGUAGGGAAGAUGGGGACUGAUGUAAUUCUAUUUUAGAUAAAAACACUCUUUAAAAAGAGCAUACGUUAGUUGGAUGUGGUAGCACACACCUUUAGCAGCAGCGUGUAGGAGAAAGGGACAGGAGGCUACCUUAGCUUGCAUAGCAAGUUCCAGGCCAUCCAGGGUUACACAGGAAGACCCUGUCUCCAAAACAAAACAAAACAAAACCAAAGGAACAUAUGCGACCAUGUAUGUAUAACUUACUUUUAGAAAUGCUCAUGUAGCUGUCUGAUUGUUUUUAGUCUCUGGUUCUGAGCAAUUCUCAACUGUGUGAAAACUUUUUGUUGUUGUCAAAAAAGAUUCUGUAAAUGUAAAAGAAAAAAUUGUAAUGACAGGAAAAAGAAAGAAGUUUGUUGUUUCCUUGCCGAGCCGAGGAACUGAACCUUUUGCCGAUGCUAGGCAAGUAAGUGCUCCUCCGCUGACGUGCAUCCCCAGGCCUUCUGGUUCAGCUUUAAACAGUAGGUGGUAUAAACAGAUGUAAUUUAGAUUCCAGUCGGACAGUGGGUAUGUAUGUUCAGCUUUGCGCUAGGUGCACGUGCACACACAAAUACACACAUUCUGAACAACUGGAAGAAACCAUCUCUGCCCUCCAGGGCCUUGAGGGAGUCUGUACAAAUCCACACGUGGAAACAUGAAAUGGGAUAACAUAGAACAGAGCUAAGGCACAUGGUGUAGACAAAGGGGACUGGGAACCUUACGGCUGACCUGCUUCUCUCAGCCAACAUCCACACAGCAAGCGUUGGAUUGCUUUCUGUGGCAUCCUUUCCCGUGCCAGCACUGGUCUGUGCUAGGGAUGUUUGGAUGGUCAAAGUAAGAUCUCUGCUCCAAUGGAUCUUGCACUUCCGCGUCUUAACAAAGAGUAGUAGAUGCUGCUUUACGUUGGAUGGAGAGGAGUGGAUUCUUUUAGGAAGAUGACUCCUGGGGUAGUGACGGAAUGAAAUGAGGAACCAGCGUGAAAUGAUGGGAAAAAACAGUUGAAGCAGGAGAGAGACGCAGUACACAGGUCCACGAGAGGAACGGGGCGAGUAGGUUCAAAGAAGCCAGUUAGUGGAGCCAAGGGGCUGAGAGUCUUUCUUUCUCUCUUCUCUCUUUCUCUCUUUCUCUCUCUCUCUCUCUC